CAAACCUUCCACUCAGAGCGCACAGUUCGCUUAAAGCUAGAGAAGGAAGAGGCUCGUGGUUCGAAGCUAAAAAAGCGAAAAAUUCUCAUUCUAGUGAUGAAUUACGAGCUCAAUAUGGAAGCACUCUUGAAACUAGAAGCUUCGUGGAAUAAACGGAGAUGGUAGCAACUCCACUGACCAGACAAAUGAUCAAACAUUAUGAUCCUAGCUGGAUGAAUAACGAGCUCACUUAGAAGAACAUUUGAAACUAGAAGAAAAACAAAGAAACAAUGAUCGGAUGAAUUAAGCGCUUAAUUUGAAGAAGAGUUAAAACUAGAAG